rnacentral:rRNA from 1 species
GGUUGCGAUAAUACUAGCACUAAUACACCGGAUCCCAUCAGAACUCCACAGUUAAGCGUGCUUGGGCGAGAGUAGUACUAGGAUGGGUGAUGCGUGUUAGUGUAUAUA